ensembl:lncRNA
GUAGUAGUAGUAGUAGUAGUAGUAGUAGAAGGAGGAGGAGGAGGAGAAGAUAUAUGAGUAUGAGUAUGAGUAGUAGUAGUAGUAGUAGUAGUAGUAGUAGAAGGAGGAGGAGGAGGAGCAGGAGGAGUAAGAGUAGUAGUAGUAGUAGUAGUAGUAGAAGGAGGAGGAGGAGGAGCAGGAGGAGGUGUAUGAGUAUUAGUAGUAAUGGAGGUAAAAGUAGUAUGCAGCAAACAAUCUUGACUGCACUUGGUCUAAUUCUGAAGAUGAAAUCAAAAUGAAUACUGGACAUCUUAAUUGGGAACAAUUAAACACUGAUGAUUGUUUUAGUGUGUGUUUCGCCUGCCAGUGAAGUUCAGAGCUGGAGGUUGUUUGAGUUGUUUGAGACAAGAUUCCGUCUAAUCCAUUUAAUGCAGUGUCUUAAUUAGGUUGACAGACGUUUCUACUCUGCUUGAUGUUUAUUUUCAUUUUCUAUUCAUCCUCUUGUCUGUGUUGUUGAUUGUCAUCUCCUUUCAGCAUCCCUUAGGCCACCUAUGACAGUCAGAAUGGAACGGAACGAUUGAUUUGUCUCAGAAUAAAGUGGCAGAAAAACUGCAUCCAGAACCAGCAGUUCUACAAAUGUCACAUUUGACAUAUUAGUGAUGCUGAAGAUAGAUAAAGGGAAUGCACUGCUGUAAACGGAGAAUGUACCAGUAAUACGAGGACAAGCUGUGUUUUGUCUUAGCUUAAGACAAAAAA